rnacentral:rRNA from 1 species
AACGAACGCUGGCGGCAGGCUUAACACAUGCAAGUCGAACGCGUGUAGCAAUACACGAGUGGCCCACGGGUGAGUAACGCGUGGAUAUCUGCCUUUUGGUUCGGGAUAACUCCGGGAAACUGGAGCUAAUACCGGAUGGUUCCUUCGGGAUAAAGACUUACCGGCAAAAGAUGAGUCCGCGUACGGUUAGCUAGUUGGUGAGGUAAUGGCUCACCAAGGCGACGAUCGUUAGCUGGUCUGAGAGGACGAGCAGCCACACUGGGACUGAGACACGGACCAGACUCCUACGGGAGGGAGCAGUGGGGAAUAUUGGACAAUGGGGGCAACCCUGAUCCAGCCAUGCCGCGUGAGUGAUGAAGGCCUUCGGGUUGUAAAGCUCUUUUGGCGGGGACGAUGAUGACGGUACCCGCAGAAUAAGCCCCGGCUAACUUCGUGCCAGCCGCCGCGGUAAUAC